CCCAUCUGUCUUGUCUAUGAAGUAUGUGAUUUUAUUUCUGAGAAUAGAGUUGGUCUGCUGUUCUGAAUUUACAUCUGUUAUUUCAAAGGUCCAGUGAUGAACAAAUUAAACAGGGUCCUGUUCUCGAGCUUGUGUUGUAGUUGGGAGGAGAGACAAGAAAACGAAAGGAAAAGGGCAACAAGGAAACAAGAAAGCAGUACAACUACAUGCUUUGCUGUCUGUGCAUGAACUGAAUAACAGAUGGACAGUGUGACUGGUCACUGACCGACUUUGAAAGAAGUGACAUUUUUGGUUACUGAUCAUGGAGCAUGUCUGUUAUUACAUAGUGAUUUGUGGACUGAAGAGCUAAGUGAAGUUUAUACUUAGUAAUUACAGUUAAUGUGUCAUGGUAACUGAAAUUUGAGUCAUGUUGUGGGGCUGGUGGUAUUUAAGCCAUAGUAACUAAAUUGUGCAUAUCAAAAUUGUUCAAAGCAAGGACUUCCUGCAUAUAUGUGGGAAAUAUGUAUAUAUACAUGUAUAUACACAUGGAAAUAUAUAUAAAGAAAUACAAAAAAUAGAAAAAUAGGACACAGCAAACUCCUAAUAACUAUAUAGAGUUGAAUUUAGGGAAGGGGAUAGAGAGGAACUAGUAUUUAUUAACCCUAUAUAUUUUUGUAUUGUUUGAAUUUUUACAAAUUAAUACUGUAAUAAUUUUUUACAGCAAAGUUAAGGUUACUUCUGUUUCCCCCAGUAACAUGGCUUGCUUUGUGUGCAUCCUGAAAAGAUAACCAGAAGGGUAAUGAGGAGAAAUAGAAGAAAGCGUUGAAUAAAUAAAUGUUUGUUGGGGGUAGGGGGAACCUAUGAUGGUUAUCUUAGAAUAAUGAUAUGAAUGAAAAUGUAAAAUGAGAAUAAGUUUGUCACACAGCAUAGUGUCAUGUACAAAACACCAACUCUGUGCCAGCUGGCCUGAUACUGUCACUUAACAACAGAAAGGCCUUGAGCAAAUGACUUCAUCUCCAUCAACAUUGAGUUUCCUGUGUGUACAACUGGCUAUUCAUACCUGUAGAGGAUUGAAUGUCCCCCCAAACUCAUUGAAGCUUCGGUUGGGUCCCCCAAGUUUUAUAUGUUAGAAAUUUGGCCCCCACCAUGACUGUUAGGAGGGCGGGAAAUCCUAUUAUGGGUAAUUGAAUGGUGGGGCCUUGAAGAGGUGAUUAGAUUGUAGGACCGUGCCCAUACCAUAGUGAAUAGAUUAAAAAUGGUGGUAAGGGGCAUGGUUCUGAGGGCUUUAAAAGGAGAGUGCGUGAGGAACUAUCUUGCUUUUCUUUUCUUACACCAUCUUGCAAUGUGAGACCCUGGGUCACUGUCACCACUACCAGAUGUGUUUCUUGGACUUUGGACUUCCCAGCCUCUGAACUGUAAGCAAUAAAUUUUGUUUCCA